rnacentral:rRNA from 1 species
AAUCUCAAAAAGCCGGUCUCAGUUCGGAUUGGGGUCUGCAACUCGACCCCAUGAAGUCGGAGUCGCUAGUAAUCGCAGAUCAGCAUUGCUGCGGUGAAUACGUUCCCGGGCCUUGUACACACCGCCCGUCACGUCACGAAAGUCGGUAACACCCGAAGCCGGUGGCCCAACCCCUUGUGGGAGGGAGCUGUCGAAGGUGGGACUGGCGAUUGGGACGAAGUCGUAACAAGGUAGCCGUACCGGAAGGUGCGGUUGGAUCACC